CGGGUGAGUAAUGUCUGGGAAACUGCCUGAUGGAGGGGGAUAACUACUGGAAACGGUGGCUAAUACCGCAUAACGUCGCAAGACCAAAGUGGGGGACCUUCGGGCCUCUUGCCAUCGGAUGUGCCCAGAUGGGAUUAGCUAGUAGGUGGGGUAAUGGCUCACCUAGGCGACGAUCCCUAGCUGGUCUGAGAGGAUGACCAGCCACACUGGAACUGAGACACGGUCCAGACUCCUACGGGAGGCAGCAGUGGGGAAUAUUGCACAAUGGGCGCAAGCCUGAUGCAGCCAUGCCGCGUGUGUGAAGAAGGCCUUCGGGUUGUAAAGCACUUUCAGCGAGGAGGAAGGCAUCAUACUUAAUACGUGUGGUGAUUGACGUUACUCGCAGAAGAAGCACCGGCUAACUCCGUGCCAGCAGCCGCGGUAAUACGGAGGGUGCAAGCGUUAAUCGGAAUUACUGGGCGUAAAGCGCACGCAGGCGGUUUGUUAAGUCAGAUGUGAAAUCCCCGCGCUUAACGUGGGAACUGCAUUUGAAACUGGCAAGCUAGAGUCUUGUAGAGGGGGGGUAC
rnacentral:rRNA from 1 species